rnacentral:rRNA from 1 species
AUACGGAGGGUGCGAGCGUUAUCCGGAUUUAUUAGGUUUAAAGGGUGUGUAGGCGGGAGCCUAAGUCAGUGGUGAAAUCUCACAGCUUAACUGUGAAACUGCCAUUGAAACUGGGUUUCUUGAGUAUAGUUGAGGUAGGCGGAAUGUGAAAUGUAGCGGUGAAAUGCAUAGAUAUUACACAGAACACCGAUUGCGAAGGCAGCUUACUAAGCUAUUACUGACGCUGAUGCACGAAAGCGUGGGUAGCGAACAGGAUUAGAAACCCCAGUAGUCC